rnacentral:tRNA from 3 species
GGGCGGUUGGCGCAGUUGGUCUAGCGCGUUUCGUUGACAUCGAAAAGGCCAUAGGUUCGAAUCCUAUACCGCCCA